UACGGAGGGGGCUAGCGUUAUUCGGAAUUACUGGGCGUAAAGCGCACGUAGGCGGGUCAGAAAGUCAGAGGUGAAAUCCCAGGGCUCAACCUUGGAACUGCCUUUGAAACUUCUGGUCUUGAGAUCGAGAGAGGUGAGUGGAAUUCCGAGUGUAGAGGUGAAAUUCGUAGAUAUUCGGAGGAACACCAGUGGCGAAGGCGGCUCACUGGCUCGAUACUGACGCUGAGGUGCGAAAGCGUGGGGAGCAAACAGG
rnacentral:rRNA from 1 species